AUACUUACCUGGCAGGGAGAUACCAUGAUCAUGAAGGUGGUUCACCCAGGCGAGGUCAGCCAUUGCAUCAAGCUAGUUGCUGACCUGCAAGCAGACCCCCCAAAUGUGGGAAUCUCGACUGCAUAAUUUGUAGUGGACUAAGGUCUCACAUUUCUCCCUG